UUUUUUGGAAUUUAAAGAUCGUUUUAAUUUUUUAGAAAAUUUUGGAAGAGUUUUUAUUUUUUAAAAAGAAAAAUAAAAUUUAUUUUCAAUUUUAAUUUCAAAAUUAAUUUUAUAAAAAGUUUCUUAUUUUUCAAUUUUUUGGAAUUUUAAAGAUCUUUUUAAGUUUUUAGAGAAUAUUUUUAUAUUCAAUCAGUACCAAAUAAAAGUAAACAUGUUAGUAAGUAGAUUGAAAGUUUCACUAGCCCAGUGGUAAAUGACCUUGUCAUUUGAACCAAUCAACCCGAGUUAGAAUCCAGGGGUUUACAUGAUUAUUUUUUUCAAAUCAUGUAAAACGACGUCGUUUUCAAAUAAGAUGAAACGAUGUUGUUUCACUUAACACCAACAUUUAACGUAUGGUUAACACUGUGUUAACUGUGAGUUCACGGCGUGCUAAAUUGGCAAAUCAAUCUUAAGUUUAUUAAUAAACUAAAAAAGUCAAUAAAAGUAAAUGAUUUUUUUGGUCAGGCGUACAUGUUUUCUUUGGCAAUUCGUGAAAAGUUCGUGUUUUUUUUGGCCGAAUUCUCCACGCCCAACUGUAAAUGUUUGCCUAUAUUGAAAUGAUGUUAUAAAUUAAUAAAUGAUAGACAAUGUUAAAAAUGCAUUAUCUGAUGCUCUACAUAUAGUAAAUAUAAAUGAUGCGUACAAGUUGAAAUACUAAAGUCUUAAUCCUUAGGCCUUGAAAAGCUGUGUAUGUGUCAUUUUAUUUGUCUUUUAAUCCUUUGUUGCAAUAAUGAAGAUUUUUUUUCUUGCUUGUUAUGAACAGAAUGACAAAAGGACAUCAUUUAAUGUAAGAGAAAAAUGUGAUGCUGAUAUCUGGUUCAUGAGAUGCUUUUUCAUAGAAUCUCAACCUACAUCAGAAGAAAACUCAACUGCUUAUUGUUAAUUAUGUAUAUUAUAUUGUGAGCUCGGGUGGGACUGUCGAGAUAUUUGCAGAGGUAAGAAGUUUAACAAAUCCAAUUAACUUAAUGUAUAUAUAUAUCAAAGUGAAGACAUUUGAAGUUGAAAUAUUGAUAUCUUCUAUAUUUCAAUAUAGUUUUUAGCGUAUUAAUCAAUUUUUGUUUGUUAAACAAAUUUGUUUGUUUUGUUGAAAACAUUAAUAAAUUAUUUUUGUAUCAUAGUUUUCAUUUGAAUACAUGUUGCAGUGGAGGGGGGUGGGGGAAAGAUGAACUACAACAAGAGAAGAUGGUACACCUCGCUACUGAAAGACGCUUAGAGGGAUUAGAUACUCGUUCCUUUCUCUCUUCGAGCCCUCAGAAAGAACAACAAGCUCAUGCAUUCAAAUUCACAUUCUAAUUAUCCACUCAAACAUGCAGCUCCUCCAACCGGGGGUCUGACCAAACAUCAACGUGAUGGCAUGAACCGAGGACUAACCAACGUACGCAUUGAGGUUUAGCGGGAGAAACGGCUCAUCCAAGAACACGUAAAUGUAGCAGGCAAUUAUAUCGAUCCCUUAACGUAUUAUCUAUACUAUAUUAAAAGGGAUAUAUGAGCUCCAUUGAGCCUAUCCACCUCAGCAUGGAAAAUCAUCCAAUGGGAUGGGUUCUUUUUGCCACGUCAUUCGUUCAUUCACACAAAAUACGGACCUCUCCGUUUCGUCUUCCUCCCAUUACACCACUUCCGAUUCUCCUUCGCCUCCACAUCUAAGUCUCAUAAAAUUCAUGUGCUUAUCAUAACCCAAACGACAUGAAUCUGUUCCGAUGGAAUAAACCCUCUAUUGGUUUGUUAUGGCUAACUCGAGAAGGAGGGGAAAGCGGCGUGGAUGGAGACGGCGGCGGCGGUUACGUCGGAGUCAGAGAAAUUGAGAUUGGUUUUGACGCCGGAGCAAACCGUGUCCCAGAGAUCCGGAGUGAGGCGUGUGGAUCUGAUGAGGUCGAAGGCUAGCUUCUUGCAAACGGCUGACGCCGGAGAUGCGACGAUCUCCUCCACUGCGGAAUUGGCGAUCACCGAAAAGUCCCGUCCGGUGGCAGAUUGUUAGAGAGCGGAUGAUUGGCUAAGGGCGUCAUUCGAUCGGAGAUCGGCCUGUAUCGGCCUGGAACGGAGGUUUGCCUCAAUCAAGUUUGUGGUUUCAAAGAAACCUGAUGGUCUAUAUCCUGUUGUUAGUGGAACAGGUAAUGUCGCUAAGGUAAAUAUGUUAUGUAUUCGCACUAUCUAUUGUCAAUAUUUUCACUCGCUAAAGGUCGACGAAAAUAUAUAUUCCUGCUCAGGUGACAAGAGACAGAGCAUAAAGAGUAUAUGGUAAAGAAAAACUGGAGAAAACAUAAACAUAUACACUUUGGUUCUGGAUAUUCUAGAGGUAUAUUAUGUUUAUUGCUCAAAUAUUUAUCUUUUAGUAACCAUUAAUACAGUAAUAUGUUUGUCAUAAAAAUGUAGAUCCUGAGACAAAUCAUGGUUAGAAAAUAAAAGUUAAUGAAUACAUAUCCACUGUGAGGAAUAAAUAUAGGAGAGGUGUUGCUGCACAGUAGGAGAGUUUUCUCUGGUGUUACGUCCUAGCGGAAGCAAGGCACCUUGCUUUGAUUUGGGCCAUUGAGAGCAUGGCAUCUCACAGGCUGAAUAAAGUAAUUUUUGAAACUGAAGAUGCAGAUUUGGUGGGUGCAGUGAAAAGACCGAGGGCGUGGCCAUCUUAUCGUGCGUAUGCUAUGGAGAUAAAAACUGCGCUGAGUAAUAUGCAUGAGUGGGAAUUGGAGGUCGUAUCAAGGAAAUCGAAUAUGAUCACCUUUUUGAUCGCAAGAAGUUUCACCAUGGAUAUGAGGUUGCAGUCGUAUGUUGCAAGGGGAGAGGUUGCUUGGCUGAGGGGUUUGUUUGCAGAAGAACGACUAACUUGCUAAAGGUAUUGAUAUGAGGAAAGGGGAUUAUGUUGGUGGGGUGAUGUCUAUGUUUUGUGGUGGGAAGACGUGAAUGAGUCUCAGGCUCUGUUCUUUUUGGGUGCUGUUUUAAUUUUUGGAUUGCUCUCAUGAGACUUUGGUUAUUGUUUAUCAUCAAAUAUACGUAUUUUCAUAGGAAAAAAAUCACAGAUUCACAAUCAUCAAUCUCAUAAUAUAUAGAAAUUUAAAACCAAUUUGAAUUAGAUAACAUAUCGUAAAAACUAAUUCAAAAAA